GAAAUUGGUCAAGUGGAGGGAUUUUUUAAAGAAGAUUGAGGGAAGUUAUCUGAAACAGAGACAGCAUGUAUUCCAGAAAAAUCUUUCCAGGUUUGUAAACCUGCUCCCAACUUGUACCUAAUCGGCAGUGAC
ensembl:ncRNA ZK20.10 ncRNA